rnacentral:rRNA from 1 species
UUUAUGGAGAGUUUGAUCCUGGCUCAGGAUGAACGCUGGCGGCGUGCCUAAUACAUGCAAGUCGAGCGAACGGACGAGAAGCUUGCUUCUCUGAUGUUAGCGGCGGACGGGUGAGUAACACGUGGAUAACCUACCUAUAAGACUGGGAUAACUUCGGGAAACCGGAGCUAAUACCGGAUAAUAUUUUGAACCGCAUGGUUCAAAAGUGAAAGACGGUCUUGCUGUCACUUAUAGAUGGAUCCGCGCUGCAUUAGCUAGUUGGUAAGGUAACGGCUUACCAAGGCAACGAUGCAUAGCCGACCUGAGAGGGUGAUCGGCCACACUGGAACUGAGACACGGUCCAGACUCCUACGGGAGGCAGCAGUAGGGAAUCUUCCGCAAUGGGCGAAAGCCUGACGGAGCAACGCCGCGUGAGUGAUGAAGGUCUUCGGAUCGUAAAACUCUGUUAUUAGGGAAGAACAUAUGUGUAAGUAACUGUGCACAUCUUGACGGUACCUAAUCAGAAAGCCACGGCUAACUACGUGCCAGCAGCCGCGGUAAUACGUAGGUGGCAAGCGUUAUCCGGAAUUAUUGGGCGUAAAGCGCGCGUAGGCGGUUUUUUAAGUCUGAUGUGAAAGCCCACGGCUCAACCGUGGAGGGUCAUUGGAAACUGGAAAACUUGAGUGCAGAAGAGGAAAGUGGAAUUCCAUGUGUAGCGGUGAAAUGCGCAGAGAUAUGGAGGAACACCAGUGGCGAAGGCGACUUUCUGGUCUGUAACUGACGCUGAUGUGCGAAAGCGUGGGGAUCAAACAGGAUUAGAUACCCUGGUAGUCCACGCCGUAAACGAUGAGUGCUAAGUGUUAGGGGGUUUCCGCCCCUUAGUGCUGCAGCUAACGCAUUAAGCACUCCGCCUGGGGAGUACGACCGCAAGGUUGAAACUCAAAGGAAUUGACGGGGACCCGCACAAGCGGUGGAGCAUGUGGUUUAAUUCGAAGCAACGCGAAGAACCUUACCAAAUCUUGACAUCCUUUGACAACUCUAGAGAUAGAGCCUUCCCCUUCGGGGGACAAAGUGACAGGUGGUGCAUGGUUGUCGUCAGCUCGUGUCGUGAGAUGUUGGGUUAAGUCCCGCAACGAGCGCAACCCUUAAGCUUAGUUGCCAUCAUUAAGUUGGGCACUCUAAGUUGACUGCCGGUGACAAACCGGAGGAAGGUGGGGAUGACGUCAAAUCAUCAUGCCCCUUAUGAUUUGGGCUACACACGUGCUACAAUGGACAAUACAAAGGGCAGCGAAACCGCGAGGUCAAGCAAAUCCCAUAAAGUUGUUCUCAGUUCGGAUUGUAGUCUGCAACUCGACUACAUGAAGCUGGAAUCGCUAGUAAUCGUAGAUCAGCAUGCUACGGUGAAUACGUUCCCGGGUCUUGUACACACCGCCCGUCACACCACGAGAGUUUGUAACACCCGAAGCCGGUGGAGUAAUCUUUUAGGAGCUAGCCGUCGAAGGUGGGACAAAUGAUUGGGGUGAAGUCGUAACAAGGUAGCCGUAUCGGAAGGUGCGGCUGGAUCACCUCCUUU